rnacentral:rRNA from 1 species
UACGGGGGGAGCAAGCGUUGUUCGGAUUUACUGGGCGUAAAGGGCGCGUAGGCGGUCGUGACAAGUCACUUGUGAAAUCUCCGGGCUUAACUCGGAACGGUCAAGUGAUACUGUCGGACUAGAGUACAGAAGGGGCAACUGGAAUUCUCGGUGUAGCGGUGAAAUGCGUAGAUAUCGAGAGGAACACCUGCGGCGAAGGCGGGUUGCUGGGCCGACACUGACGCUGAGGCGCGAAAGCUAGGGGAGCAAACGGG